AUGAUACUCCCUCCGUCCGGGAAUACUUGUCAUCAAGAUGAAUAAAAGAGGAUGUAUCUAGAUGUAUUUUAGUUCUAGAUACACCCCCUUUUAUCCAUUUUGAUGACAAGUAUUUCCGGACGGAGGGAGUACCCA
rfam:Triticum aestivum genome assembly, contig: Triticum_aestivum_CS42_TGACv1_scaffold_094102_2AL